GCCUUACCGCGCGGAGGCGGCCUGGCUGAGGCUGCGCGCCCGCAGGACCUCGUUCUCCUGCUGCAGGGCUGUGACCUUCUCCUCCAGCAUCAGGUUCUUCUCUUUCUGGAACAAACCGGCGCACUGGACAGUCACACUUGCCCCGGCUGCGCCCUCGUCCAGGGCCGGCCUCUUCCCCAGGCAGGAGGGCCCUGAGAGGACGAGGCGCAGGCGCUGUGCCCUCCGCGUGUGUCGAGGAGACCCCCCAGCCCCCAGGGGAGAGGAGCGUCCAGGCGGGAGGCCGGGUCUCCAGGAGCCCGCUGGGGCUCUGGGACUUAGUCGCCCCGGGGGGCAGGCUUCGGGGGACUUUGGUGCCACCGGAUAGAAAUAGACUUGACAGGGCCAGAGAUGGGCGUGGGGCUUCUCCAGGGCACCCGGGUCCCUGGGGACUCCGCCCCGGCCCACCUCAGUCAAAUACCCCUCCCCCGGCCGGCCUGUGCUGGAGGCGGGGAACAGGUGGACAGGGGGCGGCCAGCACGCACCACGGUCUCCAUGAGGGCCAGCCGCCGGUCUAGCUCAUGCAUGCGCUGGCUCCGCAUCUCGAUGACGAAGUGCAGGCUCUCCAGCUCCUGCUCCCAGAACGGGCUGAGGCUGCCGUGGUCCUGUGGGUGGAGACAGCUGCCCCUCCCCGACUGCCUCCUCCCAGGUCCUUGUGCCGUGCCCCUGACCUCCCAGGGGCCUCCCAGGAAGGCCCCACCUGGCAGUGCUUCUUGUAGUCUCGGCUCCGAAUGGACUCCUCCACCCUCUUGGCCUUGGCCUGGAAGGCCUCCAGCUGGGAGGUCAGCCCAGCGAUGGUGUCCUGGCAAGGGGCAGGGAUGGACGGCUCAGGGGGACUGCAGGGCCAGGGGCCGUGGUGGGCGCGUCUGUGGCCCCACCCUCCCAAGGAUGUGGGCGCAUGGACUGUACGUCGGGGCAGGGCACCCCCCCCCCCCCGAUGCGUAAACUGUAAUAGAGUCCAGUGUCCGGCCUCCAGGCCAGGUCGGCAGGGCACCCAGAGCACGUCCACCAAGGCCCAAUGUCCUUCCUCUAGGACACAUCACAGCCCCAGCAGGGCCCCCCGCCCACCUCCCCCACAAGCCUCGUCCUCGCCCUGCCCGGGCCACGGCUGCUCCGGCCUCCUGAGCCUCCCGGAGACCCCACCUGCUCACCUGCAGGGCCGUCUCAGCCUCCUGGAAGGAGCGUGUGAGCGCUGCUGUCUCCUGCGUGUGGGAGGCCUGCAGGGCUGUGGAGAAGGAGCUGCGUGAGCCCGACUGUGCCCAGGGCCCUCUGGCCGCCCCUCGAGGGCCGGAGCACCUGGCACAGGGGCUCCUGGUGUCCCGCCCCCGAAGCUCCGUGCAGCCUGCCCUGCCCGUUACAGAUGCUCACUGAUUCCCAAAGAAACUCGGCCAGAGACAUCGUUUCUGGAGACCAGCAAGGAGGAGAGAACCUGACAGAGCCAGAGCGACGGCUUGUUACUGCGGACAGUUCAGUGACAGGCGCACCCGUGAGGCCGGGCCUCAGGGAAUCGGAGCAUUUAAAGCCGCUGAGGAGAGGGAGGGGGGCAGUGAAGUCGAGGAGGUGUCUCAGGCCUCCCCUGGGCAGGGGCCAGGCCUGGAGGGCAGCGAGUGGGGGCUGCCCCCUGCAGUGCGCCACCCUCCGCCCUUCACACUCGGAUGACGGCCCAGCGAGCCUGCCCAGCGGGCGGACACAGGGGAGGACCCACGGGGCCAUGAAGCGGCGCCGUCCAGGAGGCCCAGCACAGGUGCCAUGAGCACGGCCGAGACACAGCAACGGGGGACCUGGGGGUACCGGGUGUUCCACACGCCAGAGAAAGCGCAACAGGAGAACAGGGUUACAAAAAAACAGAAAACAAACCCUGAGGUGACAGCCCUGAAUUCACCAGCUCAGACGGUGCCAGCCGAACGGCCUAGUCUCGCCAAGGAGCAGACUCCAGGGCGAGGUCGGGCUUCAAACACCAUCUACAGCGGCUCACAGGCACCCGCGCGGCUGGGCGUCCAGAGCGAGGGUGGAGACGCAGCCAGGAGGAGCGAGGCAGCAGGGCAAGUAGAAGUGACGCGGGAGGAGGCCGCAGGAAGGAGAGGAACAGCAGCGGACGGUAGGAAAGCAGGGAAAAGUCAGCGGAACCAGAUAGUUUCCUGAGAGGACUGACACGGUGACCGGCCAGUCCCCAGGGCCGGGGGCGGCUCCAGGGGCAGCGAGCGCGAGGCCAUAGGGAGGCACAACUGUCCUGGCACAGAAACGCCGCCAUUAGCCGGGACGUGCGGGUCCCCGGAAACUGCGGCCUGCCGGGACUCACCGAGGCGGCCUGUCCCGAGCAGCCCCAUCACUGCUGAAGGUAACUGCCGUCUCCCUGCAGACGCCACUGAGCAUCGAGAAACGUCGCCGCCCCGGUUAGACAGUCCCUUCCACCCCACGGGGUCGCGGGCCCGGCUCUAAAGCCGAGGAAGCGCAGCCCCCGGCGGGACGCCCGCGUCUGCAGGAGGACCACAAGCCGCCCGGCCGGGACCAGAGAGCGACGGCCAGCAGAGGCUGCCCUCGGGGUGGACACUGGGUCAGCGCUCUGCGGCUCAGGACGGCGCCCGGCGCCCCAUUAGCAAGCUAAAGCAGAAAAACCCCGUUGGCCAGAAACCACGAGGACCUUGGCUAUCUGGGGUCCAGCAGUGAGCUCCCCACCGGCAGAGUAAACUGGAAUUUGUCCAAAUUAAAGGCUCUGCUUUGUGGAAGGCAAAGUUUUGCUUUGUUAGGAGCAAGAAAAUAUACAGACUACGGGAAAAAGUUGCAAAUGUAAAGGGGUCGAAUUCAAAAUACAUAAAAAUCUCUCAAAACUCGGCAGUAGGAAGAAGCUGCCGGUCAGCACUGGCCGAAGGCUGCAACAGACGUGGCCAGAGGAGGUCAGGCGGCGACGCCAAGGGGGUGGUCAGUGUGAUUAGCCGCUUAGCACAAACUAACCCGCCAGCACCACCCCUGCCCCCGGGUCAGAGCUGCCCAAAUAAGACACCCAUGGGCACUUGUGGGCGGGAUGGAGGGACCAGGCCUUGCCAACGGGGAGGGAGGCAGAUGGACACUUCCCAGCUGAACCCACAUCUGGUCUGGGACCAGGACCCAAGUGGACUCAGCACCUCUGGGCGCCUGCGACCCAGAGUGGGCAGGAAGGCUCUGUGGUUGCCUCUAAGGCCUUACAUGGGCUAGAACCAGGCGGGGCUGGGCCCACGGAUGGCAUCUGCGGAGCGGCAGGGCCAGUGUGGAUGGACAGCGUGGAGAAGGCAAAGGCCAGGGGCAGUGGCGGGCAGGGUAGAGGCCGCCAGAUGGUGACUGCCUGAGGGAUGGCUGCUGUGACAGGUUUAUUCAUGUUGGGUUCUGUGGAGCAGGAUGGUUUUUAAAAAACCAAAGCUGGGCCUUCCUGGUGGCGCGAGGGGUUAAGACGCAACCUACGAAGCUGUCCACAGCCACUGCAGCACGGGUUCCAUCCCCAGCCAGGGAGCCACCCACAUGGCGCAGCAGACCCCUCCUGUCUCCCCGCUGCUCCCCUCAGCAGUGGAUUUCAGUCAGUCUGCCUGUUCUGUUCCCCGCUCUGUCUCUGGGGAAUCCUCUCACCCCCCCACACCUCUGGCCUGAGCGCUAGUUCUUGUAUGCAUAAAUAAAUCUUAAAAAAAAAAAAAAAACAAAACUAAGAGAAAACAAGCCCCAUCAGCUGUGAAAACCACCUCCUGGUCCCCCCAACCAGCACCCCCCAACAAAGCCCACGUGUCUCCCCACGUGGGGCCUGCUCACUCUGUACACACCUGUCACAUCUCCCUGAGAACCUGACCAGGGGGCUCUGACCAGGCCAGCCGUCCCCCAGGCUCCACCACAGGGAGCUUUCCUGUCGCUCCACGCACAAGACGAAAAGGGGCAAAUCCAUGUGGGGAAACUCAGUGUGGGGGCUGCGCCCGGGCGGGUCAAGCUGGCCCGGGUGGGUCAGGGAUGUGGGUCGGCCUUCGAGGCCAUUUCAAAACGGUUUGGCUAAGGUUGCAACAUGUCUCAAGGAUCUGAAAACGGCUCAGACCUCUGCUCUAGUUACUGCACUUCUGGGAAACCCAGUGCUGCUGCACUGGCGUCUGUCUGCAAAGGGCAAUGCGGACGCUGUUGUUUAGCCGGGAGGCGGGGGUCUGUCUCCCAGGAACAGGGAAACUGGCCGUGGCGUCGCCUUUGCGAGCGUUAGCAGCUCCGCACACACAGCGCUAAAUUAAAAGGACUGCCCAGCUGUAUAAAGUGACCAUGAAGUGUCUCUUUAAAAGAUAAACAAAGCUGGUCAUUCAAGGGAAAGCUGGCAGGACACUUCCAAGGUCAACCUCAAACCUCCUCCAGAGGAACAGCUUGUGCGCACCUGAGUAGGCGGCGGCUGCAGCAGAGACAGCAACUGCAGGGGACGUGGG